GUAGGUGAACCUGCGGAGGGAUCAUUAACACGUGUCCACACGUUUAACAUACCCAUUCAUCAACCAUGCGUGAACCAGAAACAACUCCCUUCACAGACGGACGACUGAUAAUCAUCAGGGUGGAGUUCUACGUCAACGGCGAACAAGGCAUCGACCCUCGGUCCGGCUAGAACUAUGACUCGGUCUAGAGGCUCUUAGAGGCUUCAAUCCACUGUGAAGUGUCAGCGCGACCUCCUGGCAGACUGCACCC
rnacentral:misc_RNA from 1 species